rnacentral:rRNA from 1 species
CCUGGCGGCCUUAGCGCGGUGGUCCCACCUGACCCCAUGCCGAACUCAGAAGUGAAACGCCGUAGCGCCUAUGGUAGUGUGGGGUCUCCCCAUGCGAGAGUAGGGAACUGCCAGGC